GAGUUUGAUCGUGGCUCAGAUUGAACGCUGGCGGCAGGCCUAACACAUGCAAGUCGGGCGGUAGAGAGAAGCUUGCUUCUCUUGAGAGCGGCGGACGGGUGAGUAAUGCCUAGGAAUCUGCCUGGUAGUGGGGGAUAACGCUCGGAAACGGACGCUAAUACCGCAUACGUCCUACGGGAGAAAGCAGGGGACCUUCGGGCCUUGCGCUAUCAGAUGAGCCUAGGUCGGAUUAGCUAGUUGGUGAGGUAAUGGCUCACCAAGGCGACGAUCCGUAACUGGUCUGAGAGGAUGAUCAGUCACACUGGAACUGAGACACGGUCCAGACUCCUACGGGAGGCAGCAGUGGGGAAUAUUGGACAAUGGGCGAAAGCCUGAUCCAGCCAUGCCGCGUGUGUGAAGAAGGUACUUCGGAUUGUAAAGCACUUUAAGUUGGGAGGAAGGGCAGUAAAUUAAUAACUUUGUCUGUUUUGACGUUACCGACAGAAUAAGCACCGGCUAACUCUGUGA
rnacentral:rRNA from 1 species